UACAGAGGGGGCAAGCGUUAUUCGGAAUUAUUGGGCGUAAAGGGCGCGUAGGCGGCUUUUCAAGUGACGGGUGAAAUCCCUCGGCUUAACCGAGGAACUGCCUGUCAGACUGGAAGGCUUGAGACCGGGAGAGGUGAGUGGAAUUCCCAGUGUAGCGGUGAAAUGCGUAGAUAUUGGGAGGAACACCAGUGGCGAAGGCGGCCCACUGGUCCGGUACUGACGCUGAGGUGCGAAAGCGUGGGGAGCAAACAGG
rnacentral:rRNA from 1 species